rnacentral:rRNA from 1 species
UACGUAGGGUGCGAGCGUUAAUCGGAAUUACUGGGCGUAAAGCGUGCGCAGGCGGUCUGUUAAGACAUAUGUGAAAUCCCCGGGCUUAACCUGGGAACUGCAUUUGUGACUGGCAGGCUAGAGUAUGGCAGAGGGGGGUAGAAUUCCACGUGUAGCAGUGAAAUGCGUAGAGAUGUGGAGGAAUACCGAUGGCGAAGGCAGCCCCCUGGGCCAAUACUGACGCUCAUGCACGAAAGCGUGGGGAGCAAACAGG